rnacentral:rRNA from 1 species
GAUGAACGCUAGCUACAGGCUUAACACAUGCAAGUCGCGGGGCAGCAUGGGGGUUGCUUGCAAUCCCCGAUGGCGACCGGCGCACGGGUGAGUAACGCGUAUCCAACCUGCCCUUCACCACGGGAUAACCCGGCGAAAGUCGGACUAAUACCGUAUGUUGUCCAUUGACGGCAUCCGAUUUGGACGAAAGGUUUGGCGGUGAAGGAUGGGGAUGCGUCCGAUUAGCUGGACGGCGGGGUGACGGCCCACCGUGGCGACGAUCGGUAGGGGUUCUGAGAGGAAGGUCCCCCACACUGGAACUGAGACACGGUCCAGACUCCUACGGGAGGCAGCAGUGAGGAAUAUUGGUCAAUGGGCGUAAGCCUGAACCAGCCGAGUAGCGUGCAGGAUGACGGCCCUAUGGGUUGUAAACUGCUUUUAUGCGGGGAUAAAGUGGCCCACGUGUGGGUUUUUGCAGGUACCGCAUGAAUAAGGACCGGCUAAUUCCGUG